rnacentral:lncRNA from 1 species
UCGUCUUUACAAAAUUUGCCUCCAAAAUUUCUUAAAAAUUUUUGCCUCCAAAUAAAAUUGUGACGAUAUUACGUACUUUGUCACUAAAAAUAAGAAAUUAUGACGAACUAUUUUUGUCACUUAUCCACGCAUCUAAUUAGUGAUGCACUAUUAUCUCGUCAUAUAAAAUCUGUAUUUAUAACAAUACAAAUUGUCAUAAAUUAUUAUUAUUUUUGUCUUUAAAAAAAUUCCCU